AAGAACUCGAAGCUCCAACCAAGGUCUGCUUCUCUCUCCUCAAAUCGACUUCUCCAUUCUCUCUCCUCAACAGGUUUCUCUCUUUCCUGUUCGCUUUUUUUCAUGGUUAAUUUGAUGCUUAAACACAGAUGUAGAUGAAGAUGCGUGGGGUUUGAAAAUCUCGCCGAUACUGGGUUUCGAAAUCCCUCUCUUCUCCUGUUUGCGGUUCAACGCGGUGGUGGUUGACUGGUGGCGGCGGUGGGUCCGUACGUGAAUGAGUUAUAUAGAGCGUAAAAUUGCUGGAUGGUGUUGUGAUCAAGAAUUAUGUUAAAACAGUCAUUGAGUUUAGAUCAAAGAACUGGUGCAGUGAAAGAAUGCAGAAUUUCUCUCACUAUGUUGCCUCCAAGGACAGAAUUUUGGGGCUGGUUUUUCCUCAUAUUCGGAUGUGUUUCCUUCUCGGGGUUCUUCUAUGCUGCCAUUAUAUCGAAGUUUCUUCCACCAUCGGAUAAUGCCCUCAUAUCUGCCGUACAAAACGACAGUAGUACACACAAGUGAGGAGGUGCUAGGAUGAAAGGGUAGACAGAUGAAACAUAUGAAGUCAACAGUUCCUGAGAAUGAAGUGCAGAAGUAACGGAUUUGUAAGGCAGUAGCUUUCCUCCUUCCCUCUGCUGAUUCUAGAUGUUAUGACUCUUAUGAUUUGGUCUAAAUCCCACAUUUCUGAACAUCUCUCUCACCAUUUACUAUUAGUAGUCUGAUAAUUUGUUCCAUUAUUGUUGGUUGUAUUGGAGGGUGGUAGAUGUUUGUCCAGUCCCCUUGAAGAAAUCAAUAGGUUAUCAGGCCUGUGUUGUUUGUUCUUUUAUGUAUCUGGUGGUUUGAUGCUUAACUGGGGAAGUUACUGUCACUGAGAGGAAUGAUAUCAGCAUGAGGUUACAAGGAGUGAAAAAACAUGGACACUGGUGAAGUCAACACAGACAAUUGUGAAAACACAGUGGCUGGUGAUGUGCUGAUGAAAUGAAUGAAUAAUAGCGUAGAGGAUUAUGAAUGUUGCUUUCUGUAGGAACUAGGAAGAUCAAAGUUUAGAACGGGCUUUCUACUUCCCAUUCUGCGUAACUGUACGCGAGUUAAUUGGUCGAUGUGGAACCAAGAAUUAUCACCCGACGAGUUAGUUGUAUGUGAUCCUUGAGGAUAUGAGAUUUGUGCUAAUUUUUUUUCAUAUAGGGAUAUUAUCUCUAGAUUCGACGGUAUAUCUAUUUGGAGUUUUUGUUAGGUCUUAUAUUUGUCAUGAUGCUAUUUUCCUGCAUCUUUGUUGCUACCUAACUGAUUCACCAAGGUUGUUUAAAAGAUGAAUUAUCAGACUAUUGUAAACUGAGUUUUGCAAAGGUGAGAACAAAGAGUAGCCCAAAUGGUAAGGUGCUCCCUUUACGGGAUGUGGUCUUGGGUUCAAUUCUCGUCAUAGGGUUCCAUUCGCUACCUCCUUAGAUUAGGCUAGUGUCAGCUUCUUCCAUAUACCAUGCCAUCUUGAAAAAAGGGAGUUUUGCACAGGUUAGUUGAAGCUUGUCAAAGUCUGUCUUCUGGCAAAUUUUGGCUUUGCUUGGUGAUUUCUGAUGUAAAUUACUUUCAGCUUCUUUCUUUUCUUUUAU